CGGGUGAGUAAUGCGUGACCAACCUGCCCCAUGCUCCAGAAUAGCUCUUGGAAACGGGUGGUAAUGCUGGAUGCUCCAACUUGACGCAUGUCUUGUUGGGAAAGUGUUUAGUGGCAUGGGAUGGGGUCGCGUCCUAUCAGCUUGUAGGCGGGGUAAUGGCCCACCUAGGCUUCGACGGGUAGCCGGCCUGAGAGGGCGGACGGCCACAUUGUGACUAGAUACGGCCCAGACUCCUACGGGAGGCAGCAGCU
rnacentral:rRNA from 1 species